rnacentral:tRNA from 3 species
GCCGCCGUGGCUUAGCUGGCAGAGCGGGUGACUUGUAAUCACCAGGUCGCGGGUUCAAAUCCCGCCGGCGGCU